GAUGAACGCUGGCGGCGUGCCUAAUACAUGCAAGUCGAGCGAACGGACGAGAAGCUUGCUUCUCUGAUGUUAGCGGCGGACGGGUGAGUAACACGUGGAUAACCUACCUAUAAGACUGGGAUAACUUCGGGAAACCGGAGCUAAUACCGGAUAAUAUUUUGAACCGCAUGGUUCAAAAGUGAAAGACGGUCUUGCUGUCACUUAUAGAUGGAUCCGAGCUGCAUUAGCUAGUUGGUAAGGUAAAGGCUUACCACGGCAACGAGGCAUAGCCGACGUGUGAGGGGGAUCGGCCACCCUGGAAGGGGGCCGCGGUCCUUGCUACUGAGGGAGGCAGCAGUAGGGAACCUUCCGCAAUGGGCGAAAGCCUGACGGAGCAACGCCGCGUGAGUGAUGAAGGUGUUCGGAUCGUAAAACUCUGUUAUGAGGGAAGAACAGAUGUGUAAGUAACUGUGCACAUCUUGACGGUACCUAAUCAGAAAGCCACGGCUAACUACGUG
rnacentral:rRNA from 1 species